AGAGUUUGAUUCUGGCUCAGGAUGAACGCUAGCGGCGGGCUUAAUACAUGCAAGUCGAACGGUAACAGGUCUUCGGACGCUGACGAGUGGCGCACGGGUGCGUAACGCGUACACAACCUACCCUAAAGAGGGGGAUAGCUCUGGGAAACCGGGAAUAAUACCCCAUAGUACUGCUGAGUUGCAUGAUUUGGCAGUUAAAGGUUUACUGCUUUAGGAUGGGUGUGCGAGCCAUUAGGUAGUUGGAGAGGUAACGGCUCACCAAGCCGACGAUGGUUAGCUGGUCUGAGAGGAUGAUCAGCCACACGGGCACUGAGACACGGGCCCGACUCCUACGGGAGGCAGCAGUAAGGAAUAUUGGACAAUGGAGGAAACUCUGAUCCAGCCAUGCCGCGUGAUAGAUGAAGGCCCUCUGGGUUGUAAAUAUCUUUUAUCUGGGAAGAAACAAUCUUAUUCUUAAGAUCUUGACGGUACCAGAGGAAUAAGCACCGGCUAACUCCGUGUCAGCCGCCGCGGUAA
rnacentral:rRNA from 1 species